GCGCCCUUAGCUCAGUUGGAUAGAGCAACGACCUUCUAAGUCGUGGGCCGCAGGUUCGAAUCCUGCAGGGCGCGCUA
rnacentral:tRNA from 1 species